rnacentral:rRNA from 1 species
UACGUAGGGUCCGAGCGUUGUCCGGAAUUACUGGGCGUAAAGAGCUCGUAGGUGGUUUGUCGCGUUGUUCGUGAAAACUCACAGCUUAACUGUGGGCGUGCGGGCGAUACGGGCAGACUAGAGUACUGCAGGGGAGACUGGAAUUCCUGGUGUAGCGGUGGAAUGCGCAGAUAUCAGGAGGGAACACCCGGUUGGGCGAAAGGCGGGGUC